CAAUAGCGUAUAUUUAGGUUGCUGCAGUUAAAAAGCUCGUAGUUGGAUUUCGGGUGGGAAUGGCCGGUCCGCCGUUUCGGUGUGCACUUGCUACGCCCACCUUGCUGCCGGGGACGUGCUCUUGAGUUCACGCUCGGGACACGGAGUCGGCGAGGUUACUUUGAGUAAAUUAGAGUGUUCAAAGCAGGCCUACGCUCUGAAUACAUUAGCGUGGAAUAACACGAUAGGACUCUGGCCUAUCUUGUUGGUCUGUAGGACCGGAGUAAUGAUUAAGAGGGACAGUCGGGGGCAUUCGUAUUUCAUUGUCAGAGGUGAAAUUCUUGGAUUUAUGAAAGACGAACUACUGCGAAAGCAUUUGCCAAGGAUGUUUUCAUUAA
rnacentral:rRNA from 1 species